CUUUGAAGCUUGAGCUCCAGUCAAGGCUGCUUCUAGUAACCUUUCUAUGGUCAUUCCUUCCACAUCGCAGGGGUUAAGUGCAUGGUGCCCGCCCAUCCCCUACCCUCAUCUGGAAAAUCUCUGAAAAGUUUUUUGUUCCUUUGUACCAGAGAAGAAGUCAGAAUUUCUUCUUUUUCUUUUAUGGGGUGUUGAUAUAAUACAAGAUUAUACGUAUAUUUUGUGCAUUUCUGAGUUUCUAAACUUUUUCUGUGUCGUCUGCUGACCUCCCCUCAUUGUUUUUGGCUUCUGCAAAACUCUCAAAAUAUUCCCAUUUAAUUUCUUAUGUCGAUCCACGACACAGCAAAACUACAUUGGAGAAAGUUGCGACGUGGAAGGGAUAACUGUACUUACUCGAGAGAGGUAUGGUGUGGUGGAAAUAAGUCUGGAUUGCGAAUCAGAAGACCCAAGUUUCAGUCCUGACUCUGUCAGCUGCACAACUGGGGCUUGUUUCCUGUAAGAUGAGGGGACUGAUAUGACUCGAGAGGACGGCAAAGGUCCUCUCUAACUCUAAGAUCUUACGUUCUUCUUGUCUCUGGACCUCAGUUAUCUUAUCUGUAAAAAGGGCACUCCCUUGCCUACAUCACGAAGGCCUUGUGAGGAUGAGAUGAAAUAACAGGUUGGAAAAUG